rnacentral:rRNA from 1 species
ACGAACGCUGGCGGCGUGCCUAACACAUGCAAGUCGAGCGGGAAGCUUCAUAAUUGAGACUUCGGUUGAUUUUAUGAGUGGAGAGCGGCGGACGGGUGAGUAACGCGUGAGUAACCUGCCUUCAAGAGGGGGGAUAACACAGAGAAAUUUGUGCUAAUACCGCAUGACACCGUAGUGUCGCAUGACACAUCGGUCAAAGAUUUAUCGCUUGAAGAUGGACUCGCGUCUGAUUAGCUAGUUGGUGAGGUAACGGCUCACCAAGGCGACGAUCAGUAGCCGAACUGAGAGGUUGAUCGGCCACAUUGGGACUGAGACACGGCCCAGACUCCUACGGGAGGCAGCAGUGGGGAAUAUUGCACAAUGGGGGAAACCCUGAUGCAGCAACGCCGCGUGAGGGAUGACGGUUUUCGGAUUGUAAACCUCUGUCUUCAGUGACGAAUAAAUGACGGUAACUGAGGAGGAAGCCACGGCUAACUACGUG